rnacentral:misc_RNA from 1 species
GGAAGUAAAAGUCGUAACAAGGUUUCCGUAGGUGAACCUGCGGAAGGAUCAUUAUUGUAUAACCGAGGUGCGAGGGCUGUCGCUGACCCGAAAGGUCGUGCACGCCCGAGUGCCCUCACACACAUCCAUCUCACCCCUAUGUGCACCACCGCGUGGGUCCCCCUUUGGCUUGUUCGGAGGGGGGCUUACGUUUUCACACAAACUUUGUAUGCAGUGUAGAAUGUAUUUUUUGUUUUUGCGAUCACGCAAUCAAUACAACUUUCAACAACGGAUCUCUUGGCUCUC